rnacentral:rRNA from 1 species
AAAUGAAUUGACGGGGGCCCGCACAAGCGGUGGAGCAUGUGGUUUAAUUCGAUGCUACGCGAAAAACCUUACCCAGACUUGACAUCCCGCGCUAUCCUGUGAAAGCAGGAGUUCCAGCAAUGGACGCGGAGACAGGCGCUGCAUGGCUGUCGUCAGCUCGUGUUGUGAGAUGUUGGGUUAAGUCCCGUAACGAGCGCAACCCUCGUUGCUAGUUGCCAGCAUUAAGUUGGGCACUCUAGCAAGACCGCUUGGCUAUAAGCCAGAGGAAGGUGGGGAUGACGUCAAGUCCGCAUGGCCCUUAUGUCUGGGGCUACACACGUGCUACAAUGCAAACGACAAAGCUUUGCUUGACCGCGAGGUUUGGCUAAUAGCAAAAACGUUUGCUCAGUUCGGAUUGGAGUCUGCAACUCGACUCCAUGAAGCUGGAAUCGCUAGUAAUCGUGGAUCAGCAUGCCACGGUGAAUUCGUUCCCGGGCCUUGUACACACCGCCCGU